GAACGCUGGCGGCAGGCCUAACACCUGCAAGUCGAGCGGAUGAAGGGAGCUUGCUCCUGGAUUCAGCGGCGGACGGGUGAGUAAUGCCUAGGAAUCUGCCUGGUAGUGGGGGAUAACGUCCGGAAACGGGCGCUAAUACCGCAUACGUCCUGAGGGAGAAAGUGGGGGAUCUUCGGACCUCACGCUAUCAGAUGAGCCUAGGUCGGAUUAGCUAGUUGGUGGGGUAAAGGCCUACCAAGGCGACGAUCCGUAACUGGUCUGAGAGGAUGAUCAGUCACACUGGAACUGAGACACGGUCCAGACUCCUACGGGAGGCAGCAGUGGGGAAUAUUGGACAAUGGGCGAAAGCCUGAUCCAGCCAUGCCGCGUGUGUGAAGAAGGUCUUCGGAUUGUAAAGCACUUUAAGUUGGGAGGAAGGGCAGUAAGUUAAUACCUUGCUGUUUUGACGUUACCAACAGAAUAAGCACCGGCUAACUUCGUG
rnacentral:rRNA from 1 species